rnacentral:rRNA from 1 species
UACGAAGGGGGCUAGCGUUGCUCGGAAUUACUGGGCGUAAAGCGCACGUAGGCGGCUCUUUAAGUCGGAGGUGAAAUCCUGGAGCUCAACUCCAGAACUGCCUUCGAUACUGUAGAGCUUGAGUUCGGGAGAGGUGAGUGGAACUGCGAGUGUAGAGGUGAAAUUCGUAGAUAUUCGCAAGAACACCAGUGGCGAAGGCGGCUCACUGGCCCGAUACUGACGCUGAGGUGGCGAAAGCGUGGGGAGCAAACAGG